rnacentral:rRNA from 1 species
CUGGCGGCAUGCUUUACACAUGCAAGUCGAACGGCAGCACGGGUGCUUGCACCUGGUGGCGAGUGGCGAACGGGUGAGUAAUGCACCGGAACGUACCCAGUAAUGGGGGAUAACACAUCGAAAGAUGUGCUAAUACCGCAUACGCCCUGAGGGGGAAAGCGGGGGAUCGUAAGACCUCGCGUUAUUGGAGCGGCCGAUGCCGGAUUAGCUAGUUGGUGAGGUAAGAGCUCACCAAGGCGACGAUCCGUAGCUGGUCUGAGAGGACGACCAGCCACACUGGGACUGAGACACGGCCCAGACUCCUACGGGAGGCAGCAGUGGGGAAUUUUGGACAAUGGGCGCAAGCCUGAUCCAGCCAUGCCGCGUGAGUGAAGAAGGCCUUCGGGUUGUAAAGCUAAUUGGCAAGGAAAGAAAACUUAUCU